rnacentral:rRNA from 1 species
CCUACGGGUGGCAGCAGUCGAGAAUCAUUCACAAUGGGGGAAACCCUGAUGGUGCGACGCCGCGUGGGGGAAUGAAGGUCUUCGGAUUGUACACUCCUGUCAUGUGGGAGCAAAUUAAAAAGAUAGUACCACAUGAGGAAGAGACGGCUAACUCUGUGCCAGCAGCCGCGGUAAUACAGAGGGCUCAAGCGUUGUUCGGAAUCACUGGGCGUAAAGCGUGCGUAGGCUGUUUCGUAAGUCGUGUGUGAAAGGCGCGGGCUCAACCCGCGGACGGCACAUGAUACUGCGAGACUAGAGUAAUGGAGGGGGAACCGGAAUUCUCGGUGUAGCAGUGAAAUGCGUAGAUAUCGAGAGGAACACUCGUGGCGAAGGCGGGUGCCUGGACAUUAACUGACGCUGAGGCACGAAGGCCAGGGGAGCGAAAGGGAUUAGAUACCCUAGUAGUC